AACGAACGCUGGCGGCAUGCCUAACCCAUGCAAGUCGAACGAGACCUUCGGGUCUAGUGGCGCACGGGUGCGUAACACGUGGGAAUUUGCCUCGGGGUAUGGAAUAACUCAGGGAAACUUGAGCUAAUACCAUAUAAUGUCUUCGGACCAAAGAUUUAUCGCCCUGAGAUAAGCCCGCGUAGGAUUAGCUAGUUGGUGAGGUAAAGGCUCACCAAGGCGACGAUCCUUAGCUGGUCUGAGAGGAUGAUCAGCCACACUGGGACUGAGACACGGCCCAGACUCCUACGGGAGGCAGCAGUGGGGAAUAUUGGGCAAUGGGCGAAAGCCUGAUCCAGCAAUGCCGCGUGAGUGAUGAAGGCC
rnacentral:rRNA from 1 species